rnacentral:lncRNA from 1 species
CCCGCCCUCGCACAGCACCUGCCCCCACGCCAUUCCGCCGCGCACUGCCGCGCCACACCGCGCGCACCGAACGUCGCCGCGCCACACCGCGCGCACCGGACGCCGCCGUCGUCGUCUUCUGCCCGCGCCGCGAUGACGAGCCGUACCCGCUCCACACCCACUUCGUUCCAAGGUGAGCACCCCAGUCGCCCCUUCUUUCCUCCGCGCGUUGCGCCAUGCCUCUGCCGCGCCGCGCCCCGGACGCCGCCGCCGCUCAGCCCCGCGCCGCAGGCCGCGAUGAGGCCGAGUGAGCCGGCUCCGCGGCCCAGCUCACGCCUGAGGAAGAGGGAAGGCCGCAUGGGCCUGACCCCCUGCAUUCGGCCCAGUCGGUGCUCGUCCACGGCCAGCCCGAGAGAGGAAGUGGCCAAGCAAGCCUUGCCCCUCAUUUCGGCCCACGCGCAAAACAGCAAAGAAAAUUCCUUUUUCUUUUAAAUAAGUAGAUCAACUUUGAAAAUUUAUAACCUCUCUAUUUUAAAUCCGAUCCGAGCGAUUCUAAUUGCGUUGGGUUCGUCUCGACAGGAUCUACACAGUGGAGCUAUAGAUUACUAGUUUACCAUUAAUUAAUUUAUGAGGUCAUAUUUAAUAUAUUAAAUAAUUGCUAAAAAUCGUAGAAAAAUCAUAUCUCGUUCAUACGAACUCCAAAAAUCACACAAUAAAUAUCGAAAUUUAUAUAAAAUAAAUUUCUACCUGAUGGUAUACUUUUUGUGUGCAUUUGGAUCUUUUCGCUGUUGUUCGUUCUUUGUGCUCAUCUAUAGGGGUCGUUUCCGCGACCAAUAAUCUACGUGCAGAGUCGGAGGAGGAUCGGACUGACGAGGAUCGGGAAUAUCGGGAGGAGUUAGGCGACGACUACUCCGAAGGU